GCUUUGAGGAGGUGGAAGACCAAACACAGCAGGCGUCCCAGGGGGCUUGUUGUCACUUUUCGGGGACCCUUGGUGUUGUACGUGGCUGGGUGGAGGAAGAGACCUUCAAUGACAUCAGUGAGGAUAAGGAACGGGACAUGGCUAGCUUGGUAUCCAACCUUGUGCAAAUGGGGAGUUUGCGGUUGUGCAAAUGGACUGUUUGCAGUUGUUUGCGGUGCGUUAAAUGGGGAGUUUGGUCUGUCACUGUGAAGCGGGCGUAACCCUUACACUACCUGAUCGAUACAACAUCAUACAGUAGGUCCCCCCCCUCAUUAUUUUUAUGGCCCCCACCCACCGCUCAC